AAAAUCAAAUGUCGGAGAGGGAGGGUUCUGAUUCCGAUGCACGGGAGGAGUUCACGUCGGAGCAGGGUCCAACCUCUUUCUUUAUAGUCCUAGAAUCAGCCAUAACUUUUUCAUUGUCUUCAGAACACAGAGCUCUUAUAUUGGUUCUGCUUGCAGGGAAUACAGCAGGACAGAGAUAAGAAAAGUUCAGAAAGAAAAUAAAGCAAGGAUGGAGACGCAUUUUGAAUGAGAUGUCACCUUCUCCUUGGAGUUCUUGAAGAAAAAUAAAAUGCAGGUUUCAAUAUCAUCUUCAGUUUUGAACAACAACCAAGCACCUCGCCUCAUUUCCACUUCUGGCUUGUUAAGAAAUGACAAUUCUGUGCAUAUUGUUGUUAAUGUGUCCUCUGUGAGACUGGGCACCACAAAGCCAAUGUAAGACGCAAGUUCAUUCACCUAGAAAAGGGGAGAGGUCAUACUCCCAUUAUAGCUAAUUGCAUCACAGGCCUCUGUUCUUGAUCACCCUUAGUCCUUGGCUUUACUAAAGCGCAUAUUUGUAAUCGGUGAUUUUUUUUGUGGCCCUAAUUGAUCAAUUGUUGAUUCUUAUAAAUGCCCAUUGUAUGUUUGUAAUUACAUUGUUGAUUAAAAAUGUGGAUCAGUAGCUUCUGGUGAUUGGCAACCACUAAUUGCAUACCUACACAAGUAUUUGUCUGUUGUGAAUCAAAAGAUGGAUUUAUAAGUGGCAAGUCUAUUAAAGGCACUGUCUA
rnacentral:misc_RNA from 1 species